UACAGAGGUCUCAAGCGUUGUUCGGAUUCAUUGGGCGUAAAGGGUGCGUAGGUGGCGCGGUAAGUCGGGUGUGAAAUCUCGGAGCUUAACUCCGAAACUGCAUUCGAUACUGCCGUGCUUGAGGACUGGAGAGGAGACUGGAAUUUACGGUGUAGCGGUGAAAUGCGUAGAUAUCGUAAGGAAGACCAGUGGCGAAGGCGGGUCUCUGGACAGUUCCUGACGCUGAGGCACGAAGGUCAGGGGGGAGCAAACGGG
rnacentral:rRNA from 1 species